UGUGCCGGCCAGCCAGAUGUACUCUUGGCAGGAUGGGCUGGCUGGGGGCCUCAGAGACCCAGGCAGGCUAGGACUCUAGCUUACAGUCCAUUCAGGGAGUUCUCGAGUUCUCAACUCCCUGAGGCUGCCAAAAUGAGGUCUCCAAGGAAACUGGGCCCUAGGCUCCACUGGCUCCGCUGGCCUGGCCCGCCAUCUCUCUAGGAGGAUGGAUGCUAUUCAUCAGAGAGGGAUGAAUAACUGAACAGGUUAAAAAAUGCAUCACCAAAGGUUUAUCGUUCACUAGAUUAGCAAGAAAAGCACUGGUUCU
rnacentral:lncRNA from 1 species